rnacentral:rRNA from 1 species
AAAGGGUGAUAGCCCCGUACACUAAAAUGCACAGGUCGUGAGUUCGAUGAGUAGGGCGGGACACGUGACAUCCUGUCUGAAUAUGGGGGGACCAUCCUCCAAGGCUAAAUACUCCUGACUGACCGAUAGUGAACCAGUACCGUGAGGGAAAGGCGAAAAGAACCCCGGCGAGGGGAGUGAAAUAGAACCUGAAACCGUGUACGUACAAGCAGUGGGAGCACCUUCGUGGUGUGACUGCGUACCUUUUGUAUAAUGGGUCAGCGACUUAUAUUUUGUAGCAAGGUUAACCGUAUAGGGGAGCCGUAGGGAAACCGAGUCUUAACUGGGCGAUUAGUUGCAAGGUAUAGACCCGAAACCCGGUGAUCUAGCCAUGGGCAGGUUGAAGGUUGGGUAACACUAACUGGAGGACCGAACCGACUAAUGUUGAAAAAUUAGCGGAUGACUUGUGGCUGGGGGUGAAAGGCCAAUCAAACCGGGAGAUAGCUGGUUCUCCCCGAAAGCUAUUUAGGUAGCGCCUCGUGAACUCAUCUUCGGGGGUAGAGCACUGUUUCGGCUAGGGGGCCAUCCCGGCUUACCAAACCGAUGCAAACUCCGAAUACCGAAGAAUGUUAUCACGGGAGACACACGGCGGGUGCUAACGUCCGUCGUGAAGAGGGAAACAACCCAGACCGCCAGCUAAGGUCCCAAAGUCAUGGUUAAGUGGGAAACGAUGUGGGAAGGCAUAGACAGCCAGGAUGUUGGCUUAGAAGCAGCCAUCAUUUAAAGAAAGCGUAAUAGCUCACUGGUCGAGUCGGCCUGCGCGGAAGAUGUAACGGGGCUAAACCAUGCACCGAAGCUGCGGCAGCGACGCUUAGGCGUUGUUGGGUAGGGGAGCGUUCUGUAAGCCGUUGAAGGUGGCCUGUGAGGGUUGCUGGAGGUAUCAGAAGUGCGAAUGCUGACAUAAGUAACGAUAAAGCGGGUGAAAAGCCCGCUCGCCGGAAGACCAAGGGUUCCUGUCCAACGUUAAUCGGGGCAGGGUGAGUCGACCCCUAAGGCGAGGCUGAAAAGCGUAGUCGAUGGGAAACAGGUUAAUAUUCCUGUACUUGGUGUUACUGCGAAGGGGGGACGGAGAAGGCUAGGCUAGCCGGGCGACGGUUGUCCCGGUUUAAGCGUGUAGGGGGUGUGACCUGGUAAAUCCGGUUGCAUAUUAACCCUGAGGCGUGAUGACGAUGCACUACGGUGCAGAAGUAGUUGAUGCCCUGCUUCCAGGAAAAUCCUCUAAGCUCCAGGUAACAUUAAAUCGUACCCCAAACCGACACAGGUGGUCAGGUAGAGAAUACCAAGGCGCUUGAGAGAACUCGGGUGAAGGAACUAGGCAAAAUGGUGCCGUAACUUCGGGAGAAGGCACGCUGGCAUGUAGGUGAAGUCCCUUGCGGAUGGAGCUGAAGCCAGUCGAAGAUACCAGCUGGCUGCAACUGUUUAAUAAAAACACAGCACUGUGCAAACACGAAAGUGGACGUAUACGGUGUGACGCCUGCCCGGUGCUGGAAGGUUAAUUGAUGGGGUCAGCCGCAAGGCGAAGCUCUUGAUCGAAGCCCCAGUAAACGGCGGCCGUAACUAUAACGGUCCUAAGGUAGCGAAAUUCCUUGUCGGGUAAGUUCCGACCUGCACGAAUGGCGUAAUGAUGGCCAGGCUGUCUCCACCCGAGACUCAGUGAAAUUGAACUCGCUGUGAAGAUGCAGUGUACCCGCGGCAAGACGGAAAGACCCCGUGAACCUUUACUAUAGCUUGACACUGAACAUUGAGCCUUGAUGUGUAGGAUAGGUGGGAGGCUUUGAAGCGUGGACGCCAGUCUGCGUGGAGCCAUCCUUGAAAUACCACCCUUUAAUGUUUGAUGUUCUAACUCGGCCCCGUGAUCCGGGGUGAGGACAGUGUCUGGUGGGUAGUUUGACUGGGGCGGUCUCCUCCCAAAGAGUAACGGAGGAGCACGAAGGUUAGCUAAUCACGGUCGGACAUCGUGAGGUUAGUGCAAAGGCAUAAGCUAGCUUGACUGCGAGAGUGACGGCUCGAGCAGGUACGAAAGUAGGUCUUAGUGAUCCGGUGGUUCUGAAUGGAAGGGCCAUCGCUCAACGGAUAAAAGGUACUCCGGGGAUAACAGGCUGAUACCGCCCAAGAGUUCAUAUCGACGGCGGUGUUUGGCACCUCGAUGUCGGCUCAUCACAUCCUGGGGCUGAAGUAGGUCCCAAGGGUAUGGCUGUUCGCCAUUUAAAGUGGUACGCGAGCUGGGUUUAGAACGUCGUGAGACAGUUCGGUCCCUAUCUGCCGUGGGCGUUGGAAGAUUGAGAGGGGUUGCUCCUAGUACGAGAGGACCGGAGUGAACGCACCACUGGUGUUCGGGUUGUCAUGCCAAUGGCAUUGCCCGGUAGCUAAGUGCGGAAAAGAUAAGCGCUGAAAGCAUCUAAGCGCGAAACUUGCCUCAAGAUGAGUCUUCCCUGGGCCUU